rnacentral:snRNA from 1 species
AUACUUGCUUCGGCAGUACAUAUACUAAACUUGGAAUGAUACAGAGAAGAUUAGCAUGGCCCCUGUGCAAGGAUGACAUGCAAAUUCGUGAAGCAUUCCAUGUUUUA